CUUAGAGUAGUUUAAUUUACUAGAAUAGGUAUUUGAAAAGUAUCAGAUGGGAGGUUCUCCCCGUGAGC
rnacentral:tRNA from 1 species